rnacentral:rRNA from 1 species
UACGUAGGUGGCGAGCGUUGUCCGGAUUUACUGGGCGUAAAGAGCGCGCAGGCGGUCGUACAAGUCGCGUGUGAAAGCCCCUGGCUCAACUGGGGAGGGUCACGCGAUACUGUUCGACUCGAAGGCAGGAGAGGGAAGUGGAAUUCCCGGUGUAGUGGUGAAAUGCGUAGAUAUCGGGAAGAACACCCGUGGCGAAGGCGGCUCUCUGGAACGGUACUGACGCUGAGACGCGAAAGCGUGGGGAGCGAACAGG